GACGAACCGUGCAAACGUUAUUCGGAAUCACUGGGCAUAAAGGGCGCGUAGGCGGCUCCAAAAGUCAGGGGUGAAAUCCGGCAGCUUAACUGUCGCAGUGCCUUUGAUACUGUGGAGCUAGAGGGAGGUAGGGGUCUGUGGAACUUCCGGUGGAGCGGUGAAAUGCGUUGAUAUCGGAAGGAACGCCGGUGGCGAAAGCGACGGACUGGAUCUCUUCUGACGCUGAGGCGCGAAAGCCAGGGGAGCAAACGGGG
rnacentral:rRNA from 1 species